ensembl:lncRNA
CUCUAAGCAGGAUGAAGUAGUGCAGAAUCUGUGGGUGAAGGGGAUGUUAGGCUGAUGCGAGUGUUGUUAGUCUCCAGUGAUUAUUUCCACUCUAGAAAAAGGAUGGCUAAAGAUUUCCACACGUGCAUAAGAUGUCAUAUCUUGUGAUCCAUCUCUUCUCUCUUCAUUUUCCUCCUUUGUAACUACAAGCCUUUCCUGGAGCUGAUAGCUCUAUCCAGAAUGACUCAUAGAGAUGUCUGAGAUAUGUCUGAGAAUCCUUUUAUUCUGGAUGAUGGUAAUGGCAAGAUUCCCACUGAUGUGAGUGAACUUCUACAGACCACCGUAGAUUUAUUGUACAUUCUUAAUUUCAACUGCCCUGAGGUGAAACGGAGACAUGCCUAAACUUAUCCCUGGCUACACAUACUCUGUGGAUUGGUUUUUUAUCAUCUAGAUCUGAGUCUGGAUGGAGUGUUCUAUAACCCAUCGCAGCUUGUAUGACUGAGUUCCCCUGGGCAUUUGUGGAAAAUAGUGAAUGUGCAAGCAUGGAGCCUGGGUGGGGCUGGGCAUCCCCUUAGAGCCUUGUAGGAGCUUAAGGCAGACAGUUGCUGAAGAGUCAUAUGGCAGGAGGAGCAUCCUGGAGCUCUACAGAGUGGUGCAAGAGAGAGUUAUGGUUCUGAAGGUUUUUCAUAAAAUCAUAGAAUCCUGAGAGUUUCUACAGAAAAGCUUACAGUUUCAUUCUGAAGGAACCUUGCAGUACUCUGUCAAAAAUUUAGGCUGUCACUGUAUCUGCUGGGUGAAGAAGUUGUAAAAGACAAAUUACCUUGGAAAUAACACACUAAAGAUGUGCAAAGAGGUCUCUUCAUCUAGCUUAUCUCUUAAGGUGCUGAUAAGAAAUUCCUUCCUCCCCACUCCCAUCCCAAACCUCAUCAUGAAUCCUCACUGAAAACAACUCUCCCAGUCUCCUGAGAGGUGAGGCAACUCCCUGCACUCCACCCUCCUUUCUGCUCCAGCACAGACUGAAAGCUGAAGGACUGAAAUACCAUAGAAGAAG